CCCUAUAGCAGUCAGAAAUCAGAGCCUUCUAAGUCCCAGGUUAAGUUCUUGAGAAAGGAUGGGUAUUGGAGACCCCUUAGAUGGCAGCUCACUCAGUGCCAGUAAGCCAGCCACUCAGUGCGGUUACCCAAGCUUGGCCUCCCGCUCCCCAGCUUCUGCCCCUUUGGGGAACCCACCCUUCCCCAUCCUAGGUACCUUCAGUUAUUUCCUUCCCCACUCCAGACUGAGGCCUUUACGAGCCCAGAUAGUCCGGGGGCCCCAAGCACUUACCCUCCAGUUCCCUCCACUCCCAGUCACCUCCGAGGGCUGAGUGAGUAGGGGCAGGAAACAGGAAUCAGAUCCUCCUCCCAACCGGACACCACCACCCCCAACCACACCAAGCUCCACAUGCGCACACCGGGCCUAGAGGAUGUGAGGAAUCUGGCGUCCAAGGUGUUGGAGAUUAAAAAGCCUGGAACUCAGGAAACUGAGCUUGCAGGGCUGGGAGCAUGUCGUAAAAACAACUGAACGGGGUGGAGUGAACCCUACCCAAGCCUGAGAGGGAGGCUGCUGGGAGUUGCAGGGGCAGGUCCCUGUCAGAUGUCACUCCACAGGAACACAUCCAGAUACUGGGAAGAAAAUCAGGUAAGUUUGUAUUCAAAGAUGGUUUAAACCCCUUCUUGCUGAACGCCAAAAGCCUAAAGUCUAAGAGACUACACAAUCUACCCUAUUUCCCAGCUUCUCCUUUCAGACUGAUUCCUACCUUAGGAUCUUUGGAGUUCUGCCUAAAGCCUGAAAAUCUUCCCAAGAAAUCUCCAUGAAGCAUUCCUGCACGUCCUCCGGGCAGCUGGAAGAAACUUUCUCAAAGAGGCCUGUUCUGGCUACUUUAAAAUUUCAGUCCACUGGGCUACCUGGUCAGGCCUCGUCUCAAAAAAGAAAGGAAAGAAGGAAGGAAGGAAGGAAGGAAGGAAGGAAGGAAGGAAGGAAGGAAGGAAGGGAAGGAGGGUAUGAGCUAGCAGCAGAGCUCAUUAAGUGGUCUGUGAGGAAACUAAGGAGGCUGAAGGCUCAGUGGUUAGGAACACUUCCAAACAGACUUCCCACAGACACCAUCUUCUAGCCUCCAAGGGCACCAGCAUGCAUAGCGUGCACACACACACACACACACACACACACACACACACAGAGGCACAUAAAUGAAAGUAAUCAUUAACGAAGAAGAAAGUAAGGCCUGAGAGAUGGCUCAGCAGUUAAAAGCACUUCUGCUUUUCCAGAAGACUCAAGUCCAGUUCUCAGCACCCACACUGUGCAGCUUACAACUGCCUGUCACUCCAGCUGCUGGGGAAUCUAACACCUCUGGCUUUCCUGGGCAUCUGUGCACACAAGCACAUAUCCAUAUAAAAGCAAGCACACACCCACGUGCUCAUACACCCAAAUAAUUUUUAUAUUGUUAAAUAUAAAAUAAACCUUUCUAAAAAAGAAUUUAAGGGGGCUGGGGAUUUAGCUCAGUGGUAGAGUGCUUACCUAGGAAGCGCAAGGCCCUGGGUUCGGUCCCCAGCUCCGAAAAAAAGAACCAAAAAAAAAAAAAAAAAAAAAGAAUUUAAGGAGGAGCCGAUCAUAGUAGUGCACACCUUGAAUCCCAGCACUUGGGAGGCAGAGGCAGGUGGAUCUCUGUGAGUUUGAGGCCAGCCUGGUCUACAGAGCAAAUUCCAGGAUAGCCAGAGACUCUGUCUAUAGACAAACAAACAAAUAGAAAAAGAAAGUAAGAAG